rnacentral:sRNA from 2 species
UAAAUACCUCGUUAGGUGAGGCUCCUGUGUUGGAGAAAUGCUGCUGCCCAAAAACGUCGAAAGACGCCAAUGGGUCAACAGAAACCAUCGAAUUAAGGUGGUUUUUAAUGUAGCUGGAUGAUUAUCCUAUGCCACACAGUGCUAAAGCUCUACGAAUGGAGGAAAUCA